AUCCCUUGACAUCCUGCGAACUUUCUAGAGAUAGCUUUGUGCCUUCGGGAACUCUGAGACAGGUGCUGCAUGGCUGUCGUCAGCUCGUGUUGUGAAAUGUUGGGUUAAGUCCCGUAACGAGCGCAACCCUUGUCCUUAUUUGCCAGCACGUAAUGGUGGGAACUCUAAGGAGACUGCCGGUGACAAACCGGAGGAAGGUGGGGACGACGUCAAGUCAUCAUGGCCCUUACGAGUUGGGCUACACACGUGCUACAAUGGCCGGUACAGAGGACUGCAAACCUGCGAAGGUAAGCUAAUCUCACAAAACCGGUCGUAGUCCGGAUUGGAGUCUGCAACUCGACUCCAUGAAGUCGGAAUCGCUAGUAAUCGUGGAUCAGAAUGCCACGGUGAAUACGUUCCCGGGCCU
rnacentral:rRNA from 1 species